rnacentral:rRNA from 1 species
CGGGGGGGGCAAGCGUUGUUCGGAAUUACUGGGCGUAAAGGGCUCGUAGGCGGCCGACUAAGUCAGACGUGAAAUCCCUCGGCUUAACCGGGGAAUUGCGUCUGAUACUGGACGGCUUGAGUUUGGGAGAGGGAUGCGGAAUUCCAGGUGUAGCGGUGAAAUGCGUAGAUAUCUGGAGGAACACCGGUGGCGAAGGCGGCAUCCUGGACCAAUACUGACGCUGAGGAGCGAAAGCCAGGGGAGCAAACGGGAUUAGAUACCCCGGUAGUCCUGGCCCUAAACGAUGAAUGCUUGGUGUGGCGGGUAUCGAUCCCUGCCGUGCCGAAGCUAACGCAUUAAGCAUUCCGCCUGGGGAGUACGGUCGCAAGGCUG